rnacentral:tRNA from 1 species
UCCGGCGUGGUUCUAGUGGCUAGAGUUCUGGCUUUCACCCAGACGGCCCGGGUUCGAUUCCCGGCGUCGGAA